CGACUACAUGAAGCUGGAAUCGCUAGUAAUCGCGAAUCAGAAUGUCGCGGUGAAUACGUUCCCGGGUCUUGUACACACCGCCCGUCACACCAUGGGAGUUGGUAACGCCCGAAGUCAGUGACCUAACCGAGAGGGAGGAGCUGCCGAAGGCGGGACCGAUAGCUGGGGUGAAGUCGUAACAAGGUACC
rnacentral:rRNA from 1 species